ACUCUAAUAGUUUAACAAAAAACAUUGGUCUUGUAAACCAAAAACUGAAGGUCAUCCCCCCUCUUAGAGUU
rnacentral:tRNA from 2 species